CAUCAUCUUCAACCAUUAUCUGAACCUCCAUCAUCAUCGUCUUCAACCAUCACCGUCGCCAUCUGAACCGCCACAACCACCACUGCCGCCACAACCAUCACCGUCGCCAUCAUCACCACCCCCGCCACAAACCUCCAUCAUCAUCAUCUUCAACCAUCACCGUCGCCAUCUGAACCGCCACAACCACCACUGCCGCCACAACCAUCACCGUCGCCAUCAUCACCACUGCCACCGCCACAAUAGUGGCUUACGCAGUGGAAGUACAAAUUUUCGAAAAUUAAUUAAUCAUCUACAAAAUGAAAGAUCAUGAUGAAAAAUAGAGAGGUGAAGAAGUACCUCAAAUUCAGAACCUUUUGAUGAUACAACAAGAACAAAACAAGCUUUUCUCCAGACAAGAUCACAGAGAUCGGAACUCGAAUUCUUAGAUUUGGUGAAGAAUCAAAACUUCUCUUUUCCGUUUAUAUCUCUUAUCAAUCAGUGUUGUGAAAAAUUAGGUGUAAAGGUUUGGCAGCCAUUAGAGACUAUAGAACGUGAGACACAAAGGCGAUGGUUGCAAUGAAGAAGAGGAAAUUGACACAUACGUUUUGCAUUGAUGUUGUGGGGCCAUCAAUUCAUCACACACACAACAAGAAUCCUUAAAAGCUUGAAGCUUUUAAAGAUCUUGAUGAAGAAUACACACAAGCAGACCUAAAUUCAAUCUGGGCUUCUCAAA